UGGGGGAUAUUGGACAAUGGGCGCAAGCCUGAUCCAGCCAUGCCGCGUGAGUGAUGAAGGCCUUCGGGUUGUAAAGCUCUUUCACCCACGACGAUGAUGACGGUAGGGGGAGAAGAAGCCCCGGCUAACUUCGUGCCAGCAGCCGCGGUAAUACGAAGGGGGCAAGCGUUGGGCGGAAUGACUGGGCGUAAAGGGCGCGUAGGCGGUUCGUUGCGUCAGAUGUGAAAGCCCCGGGCUCAACCUGGGAACUGCAUGUGAUACGGGCGAGCUUGAAUCCAAGAGAGAGUGGUGGAAUUCCCAGUGUAGAGGUGAAAUGCGUAGAUAUUGGGAAGAACACAAGUGGCGAAGGCGGCCACCUGGCUUGGUAUUGACGCUGAGGCGCGAAAGCGUGGGGAGCAAACAGG
rnacentral:rRNA from 1 species